CGAAACCGGAGGAAGGUGGGGAUGACGUCAAGUCCUCAUGGCCCUUAUGGUAGGGCUUCACACGUCAUACAAUGGUCGGUACAGAGGGUUGCCAAGCCGCGAGGUGGAGCCAAUCCCUUAAAGCCGAUCGUAGUCCGGAUCGUAGUCUGCAACUCGACUACGUGAAGUCGGAAUCGCUAGUAAUCGCAGAUCAGCAUGCUGCGGUGAAUACGUUCCCGGGUCCUU
rnacentral:rRNA from 1 species